AAGGUUCACAGCAAACGGAUCAGUAAAGGCAUUAUCAGGAAAAUGCAAGGAAAAACAGAACAACAGUGGAAAUCACAGUAUUAAUCUCAUGGAAAUGGCAGGAGUCAAGGCAUAAGGCAAAAUUCAUCAUGAUGGUCAUGGUGAUUAGAGAGCUCCCCCAUAAGGAUACGCAGACAAUUCCUCAACUGCAGCUCCCUAAGUUUUCUCCUGAUUUCUUUCUGGCUGGUGGCCUUCGCCCCCUCCCAAAGGGCGGUCUUCCUCUCCGUUCUGCACGGGUUGCUCCAUUUCUUCGUUUUCCUGGCCUAUCCUUGCUGUCUCUUGCUCCUUCUGAUCCUCGCCACGAGUGCGCCGCCGCCACACUUGGUUCGGCAGACCUGCAAAGGGCCAGGGUGGGGACAGGAGGCUGCUGCAGCCGGGCGCUUGGCGCCUUCCCGACCCCGCGUCCCCUACUCCCACCAAC
rnacentral:lncRNA from 1 species